rnacentral:tRNA from 1 species
AGGGCGGGAGCAGCAUCGGCUGGUACCGGGGGCCGCUGGCGCCCGGUCCGACGGACGCGGGGCCGGUGGUCCCGGUACGGACCGGGGACGCCCUGC